GGAAAGUCGGAGAUCUAGAAAGAGGCCCGAGUUCCUGAGUUAGAAUUCCGAUUGGAUGACCUUUCAAAUCGAUUUUUCCCACUCGGAGCUCGUUUUUUCCCCGAGUUCCCAGAUGUUUUGAGCGGCUGAAGUCUGAAGUCAGAGAUUUCCGAGUUCCCAGUUGGUUCGAACGUGGCAUUAGUCUCAGAGAUGUGUCGUCACAGCCCGGACAGCAACAACAAACAUGGAGGAAUAUGCCCGUGAGCCUUGGUGAAGUACAUUUCAGACAGACAAUUAAGUAGACGGUUGUCAAUGUUGGUGCUAUCUCUCUUUAGCCAACAUACUUUUCUGCUUCCCCAUAAUGGUUAUUAUGCCUUUUAUGCCCGAGUCAUUACGCAAAUGAUGGUUGAAUUAGCUAACUAGCAGACUAAACUCCACUCCAUGGUGAAGUUUCUGAUGAAGUUCCUUCACCAUGGAGUGGAGUUUAGUCCGCUAGCAGUAACUUAACGUUAGCUAGCUUGCAAAACAAGUUGAGUAACAUAGCUACUACUAGCUAGGCAUAGCUAGCUCGCUAGACAUUGUCUGAGGAUGUGGAAGAUUUAGCUAGCUAUGCUGGUUAGGGAUGUGACAAAUCAGGUGCUUACACUGGUUCUUGCUUUAAACUCGCCAUUAUAAAUUAUCUUUAUAAAAGGUUUGUUAAUGGUUUAUUAUUCGUAUCCUAGUUAAUAUUACUAUUAACUAGUAUUAGGUAGUAUAUUUGGUAGGUAGUUAUAGUAUUGUAAUGACCUCGAUAUAUCAUACAUGAAAGAAUGUCCAAAACAGGAUCGAGUUUUCAAAUUGAACGGUUUAUUAACCAGAACUCACACAGGCUACUGUUUGCCCUCUCGCUGUUCCACCAACCACAAGGAUGCCUGGCACUGAAACAUUUCCAGGCAUUCCUUUGAUUGGCAGACAGCAAAGGGGACUGGCAUGCUGGAUCCCGCCAAACACAGAGCAAACUGAUACACGUGGCCUGAUAACCACACAACAACAGAACACAUGCACAUAACUGUCCAAGCAGGUCGCUACAGUAUAUUAGGUAAAUUGUUUAUAUACCAGUAAUAGGCCCACAUAUUUAUGCAUAGAUAGGCAAGUGGUUUAUCUUUAAUAUGUCUGUAUUGUGGUUUAUUUACCCAUGGCCUUUACACACACUUCUCAGUCCCUGGAGAAUAGUAGAUGACUGUGGUGGUGCGUUCACCAUGGGGGCCAUCGGCGGAGGGGUGUUCCAGUCAAUCAAGAGCUUUCGGAAUGCUCCUGUGGGCUUUCGGCACAGACUAAAAGGUAGCGCCAAUGCUGUGAGAUUAAGAGCUCUACAGAUCGGCGGUGGGCCCUUGGCUAUGGUGGGGUCAGCCAUGAUGGGGGGCAUCCUGCUGGCCUUGAUCGAGGGCUUUGGGAUCCUUCUCACCAGAUACACCGCACAGCAGUUUCAGAACCCGAGUCCCUUUGUGGAUGACCCCAGCCAGCUUCCUCCUAUGGAUGCCAGCCAAUAGCAGACUGGGUUCCAGUAGGUUCCAUGGAGCUACUGGGCCUAGCUACAGCCAUGCAUACUGUGACAAUCUCAGACUAGAGAGGAGAGGGGUGCUCUGAAACCUGACCCCACAGGUGCAAGUCAGUUAAGAAUUCUUAUUUACAAUGAUGCCGGCCAAA